UAAUAGUGGUGUUAUGAUGUUAUUAAUGUUUAUUUGCAAGGGUAGUAUUGUCCUUUCAUGUAAUAGGGUUUACUUAGGGUUUCUAUGUUCUCCCUAUAUAAUAAUGUAAUGGCCUCUUAUAACAUAGAUACUGAAUAAUAGAAUUUCUCUGUUCUAGUCUUACCACAUGGUAUCAGAGCCAUAAGGUUCAGUGACCUGUGGUUUUUAAUUUGCCAGCAGGCGGCCUAGUCUUUUGCCGCCGUCCGCCGGACCACUCAUUUGCUUCUUCUUUUGAUCUUUUCGAUCCCUAGCCGCUGUUGCGCACACUGUUCACCUUACUGUUCAUCGCGCACUGUCCAUUGUGUUACUGUUCACCACACUAUUCGCUGGUUACUGUUCACCAUACUGUUCACUCUCCGGUUUAUCCAGUCUUUAGGGUUUUAAAGAGCCAAGGUAGUUUUUUCUUUUACACUUCAGUCCCUCAAGUUUGUUUUAUUGUAGUUUGGUCCCUAAACUUUGCAGUAUUUGUUUUGGUCCCUGUUUUUGUAGCAAUGUGACAGUUUGGUCCCUUGUGGAUAUUUCUCGGCUUUGGUAAAUUUAUGGGUGAGUGUUUGUCUUGUUGUUUGGUAGUUGAAUCCCCAUUUGUUGUGCCACAGGCACCUUGUCUUGUUGUGAUCCUUGUUGGAUCUGUUGGUGUGAUCCUUGUUGGAUCCUUUGUCUAUCUCUCCCCGUAUUUGGGGUUUGCACAUGAGGGGGAAUGUUGGAACUUCUCCCAUAUUUCUCCAUUUGCAAUUAUGUUCGUUGUUCAAUUGCAUCUGUUCGGGUACAGAAGUACUAGUGAUUUUUCAUUUUGGAUGGGAUCGAAGUUGCAUUACCGGGUGGAUUUUUUGGCUUUGCCUUUUGAAUUGUAGAGACCCGUAAUUUAAGAUUUCUUGACUUGAUUAACUAAAUGUGGACUUGGACGUCUUAAUAUGAAUAAUGACGUGAAUAAUGUGUUUUGGGGUUUAGUGUGUAAUGAUAUGGAAGUUUGAGGAGUUGGUGUAGUGUAAUGUUAAAUGGAGGGGUGAUAGUGUAAAUAGCUAUGUAUAUAUGUGUGUGUUGGACACUAGGGAAAUUCACUUUCCCUUCUUCCUCUUUCAACUCAUGCCUCUCUUCUCUCUCUCUCUCUUGAGCUCAACAUUUCACAAUACAUCAAACCCACCAAGAUCCACUACAUAACCUUAGUAUUCAAGUGUUCUUAAGCUCCGAAGUCACGUGGCUUGGCUUAGAGAGAGAGCAUUUCAUUGGAUUUCAAGUUUGAAGUUCUAGGGUUCGAUCGAUCUUGGAUCUUUGCUUCCAAUCUUUGAGCUCAACCCUUCAUUUUUCAGGUAUUAAUCAAGGACAAUAGCAUGGAGUGUUUGGCAUGCAUCAAGUGACAAACUUUUGAAAGCUUACAUUGAGGAUUCCUUUGUUUCAUCUGUGUAAAUCAUGUUUUGGUGAUGGAAGGGUAAUCUAAUCUCAUUUAGUUCGACUGAGUUUGACUAAAGACACUUAAUUUAUUUUCUUUAAUUCGUACUUAUGUUAAUUUGGGGCUUUGAGCCAUGAAUGUAAUCUUUUGGAAACUCUUAGAGGUUGGACUAUAAUUUGAUGACAAGGAAAUGAAAAACUCUUUUAGGUA